GCACAGAGAAAAUAAAUUUGUACUCAUUCAAUAAAAACAUAGUGAUUGUCAAUUUUCUGUAAAAAUUUGUACCUAAAGAUGAAAUCAAAAUAUAUCCAUGUGCAUACGAAUCUAAAAUGAAUCACAUACAAAGGCUGAGAAGACAUAUGACAAUACUCUAGAAAGAGAAUAUAUUACUGCCAACAAAACGCUUAGCACUGAACUAUGCUAGGAUUAUGUAUACUGGAUUCCUGCCUCUUCUUCUAAGAUGUCGAUUCUCACACUUACACAUUCUAAUUCUUUAUUUCUCAGACUUUAAUCACUCACUGUCUAAAGGCAUUGGGUUAGGAAACAGCCAUGAAGUUAAAAGUGGCACCAUUACUAUAUACUGUAUUUCAUAAGUUCCAGUCAGAUUAUUACUGAUCUAGAAAAUUACAGUGUAAGAUGUUUAAAAUAGAUAAUUUAUAAUUUAGUCAUCAGGAAGUUUUAAGUUUUAGUCUAUCAUCUACAGCUGAAAUUCUCAAACUUGACUGCACAUUAAAAUCACCUGGGGAGCCUUUUUGAAAAUACGGACUCCUUGGGCUUCCCUGUGGGGUGGGGCUGGAAACAUCUGUAGUGGCAGAACUCCCCAGCUGAUUUGAUGCAAGUCAUUCUAGGACAUAUAAAUGUAAACGUAACCAAGCUUACCUUCUUUGCUAGGAGGUGGUUCUCUUCGCACUGUGCUUUCCUUAAGUCACAGAUGCAGGAAGUGGCAGCGCUAGGAUUAAGACAGGCAGUCUGGCACCUUGGUCCAAGCUCUUUAUUUCUGCUUGACUGUCUCUUACAGCAAGUAUAGACGUAAAUAUUUAUAUUAACCUCAUUCGUGGCUUUACCUUAUUUUUUCCUAACAUUAUCUUUUCUUCAACUCAUUUUUUUCCGCUUAACUUCUAAAAAGAAAACCGCAUCUGCUGUGUAUUUUUGUAAGUCCUUCUUAAUAAACGUUGGAAAAAUAUAGAUGACAGGACAUUAAAAAAAUAAAUUCUACUCUCUAAUUGGUCCCCACAGCACUUUAUAUGUAUUAAUCAAAAAGCGUCGAUUUAAUCUAUAAAAAAAAACAGUGCUGGAUGCAUGGAGAAACUGAACCCGAGGUCUGGAACCCUGUCUUAAUGACAUAACACUCUAGAAACCACGCACAAAUUAAUACUAUUUUUUUCCUUUAAUUAUGUUCUUAAAAAGUGCAUAUUUUGUGGAAUGGUCGGCUCAAGAUGGUUUGAGAUGUAGCAGAGAGGGAAGCUAGCUUCCAAUCUGACACUUGCACGAAUCAGAGAUGCUCGUGGAGAAGCCGCCCCUUCCCCGCUUCAGCCUGGGAGGGUGAGCACGGCCGGUCCCCUCUUCGGUCCGGCCAGGGGGCAGUCACCGGGUGAUCUCCGGUUAUGACAGCUUUUCCAAAAGCCGCCAGGCGCGAAACGUGAGCCCAGCCGUCCAUCCGAAAGAAGCCCCUAUUUUUCUUUCCCUUCC
rnacentral:lncRNA from 1 species